rnacentral:rRNA from 1 species
ACGGGUGCGUAACGCGUAUACAAUCUGCCUUUCACUGGGGGAUAGCCCGAAGAAAUUUGGAUUAAUACCCCAUAGUAUAGUAAUACGGCAUCGUGAUACUAUUAAAGCCUUGGUGGUGAAAGAUGAGUAUGCGUUCUAUUAGCUAGUUGGAGAGGUAACGGCUCCCCAAGGCGACGAUAGAUAGGGGUUCUGAGAGGGAUGUCCCCCACACUGGUACUGAGAUACGGACCAGACUCCUACGGGAGGCAGCAGUGAGGAAUAUUGGACAAUGGUCGGAAGACUGAUCCAGCCAUGCCGCGUGCAGGAUGACGGCCUUAUGGGUUGUAAACUGCUUUUGUAAGGGAAGAAUAAGGAGUACGAGUACUUUGAUGACGGUACCUUAUGAAUAAGCAUCGGCUAACUCCGUGCCAGCAGCCGCGGUAAUACGGAGGAUGCGAGCGUUAUCCGGAAUCAUUGGGUUUAAAGGGUCUGUAGGCGGGCUGGUAAGUCAGAGGUGAAAGCGCUUAGCUCAACUAAGCAACUGCCUUUGAAACUGUUGGUCUUGAAUGGUUGUGAAGUAGUUGGAAUGUGUAGUGUAGCGGUGAAAUGCUUAGAUAUUACCCAGAACCC